rnacentral:misc_RNA from 1 species
UUCCUUCCUAACCUAAAUGUCACACAUCCAUUCGAAACGUCAAAAUGACAGUAAUAAAUAGUUUUUAAUUUUUUUUGAAAAAAAGGAAAAUAUAGAAAACCUUCAUCGCCAUUGGAAAUGCUGUAUCCGUUUCGUUGAAGUACAAAAUGACACAGAGUGAAAAUGACUCCCUAAGAGCGUUGGAACGUUUGUUGGACGAAUUUUUUAAUCAUUCCACAAGCAAUGAAAAGAAACGGGAAAUUGAGAACCAACUGCAUUCCUUUAGCAAUCAAAGAGACUGCUGGAAAUAUUGCAUUUACUUCUUAGCACAUACGUCUAGUCAGUAUGUGUCCAUGUAUUCUAUAUCUACAAUUGAGUCUGUGAUAAACCGACAGUGGGUUAGCUUAGACUGGGAACAUAGAGUUCAAUUAAAGAGUGCAUUGUACAGUUAUUUAGUUGAACAAGAUGUUACGAGUCCCCAUUUUUUAAGAAAUAAACUGGCUAAACUUCUUGUUGAUAUUGCCAGAUUUGAUUGGCCACAUUUUUAUCCAGAAUUUUUUAAUAACAUUUUGCAAUUUUUACAAUCUGAACAAGGACAAAUGCUAGGACUGACUAUGCUACGUAUAACUAGUGAAGAACUUAUGAAUCCUCGACCUGAUCUCAACAGUUAUCGAAAAGAGGAACUUCACAGGUUACUGCAACAACACAUUCCACAAGUGUUUCAAAUGUUGUGCAACAUUUUAGAAGAGUUAGGGAAAAGGCCGAGACAUUCAGCAACUGCAACACCUCCACCGUCUCCUACUCAUCCCAGUUCAGUUCCUGAUUUAACAAAAGAGCUGACAGCUGCGUCUUUUAGGCCAGACAACAAGGACAUCACCAAAGAGGCCUUGGCUGCAACCCAACAUAUUUUUUCAUGGGUCAACCUCACUCAAGUGCCGUUGCAACUUAUUCGAUCUAUUUUUCACUUUACUAACAUUUCUAGUUAUGCCCAGGAUGACGAUGACAUGUGUGUUCUUGCCAUGUCAACGUUAAAUGAACUUCUGUACAGAAAAUGUGCUCCACCAGACAGUCAAAAUCUGUUUAUCGAACUUUACCACCUAACUGUACAACUGCUCAGAGAUAUAAUGAGUCCGAAUUCAGAUAAGAUAGAAACGCUUGGCAAUGAUUUUAUGGAAAAACUGUCGGAACUGCUUGUGUUGCUGAUUGAGCAGCACUUGUGGCGUUUAGAGGCUGAACCCGGUUUCUCUGCAUUGGAAAUCCUUUCUUUGCUAUUUCAGCUAACAAUGCAAGUGCCCUCGGUCGCUUGUUAUCUAAGAUGUCUUUCAGUAUGGGGCGCCUUCAUUAAACAACUCAAAGCACAAAAUGCUCACAAGUAUUCUCAGGCUCUACUGGGUUUAGUAACAGCAGUUCUGAAUAAAAUGCAAUUUACGUAUAAUAGAAAACAGUUGGACGAAGUUGAUAGCGAACUAGGCGAUGAUGAGGAAGAGACUGAGUGGCAAUUUUUCUUAAAAACUUCCAUAGAAAUAAUUGCAAUGGUUGCGGAGUACAAUCCGCAAGAAGUGUUCAAUCAAGUGUUAAUUCCGUGGAAGGGAGCGAACGAUAUAUAUUGUGUUCUGGAAAAUGCCGUUGACCACAAAAAUCUCAUGUUCAAAAUAGAAAUUUCCGAAACUGAAAGACUGCAUUGUGUCUUAAGAGAUUUUGCCUCCUUGACGCAAACCUUAGCUAGACUUUCUACAUUUUUUAUAGAUGAUAAUAAUGAGUACAACAAAAAUUCAGCGCCAAUCAUUGAUAGCCUCGUACAUAAACUCAUUGAAAGUAGUUGCAUUGCAACGAAUUCCAGAUUUUAUCUAUUGAAAAUUGGAGACUCCAAACUUGUCGAAUGUUUCGCUGAAGCACAUAGUCAGCUUCUGGCAAGCCUUAAACCAUGGCUAUCUUGGUUCCUAGUCAAGGGAGGUAUCAAUAACCUUCGCCUGACCCAACUUCUCGAAGUUUGUCUCCCCAUUCUCAGCGCUGGUACUCAAAAUCCCAAAAAGGUCAAUCACGCUGCUGCUCAUCUCCUCCUAACGCUCACCAAUACCGUUUUCCCUCCCGUUUUAAUUAUGCAACCUUCAGUUGUGGAAUUCAUUCAUGUCGCUCCUUCAUUGAAAUUCGCAUCACAACAGACGAAGGAGGUAAUAGAUAAUGCUAUUUGCAACGUGUUGAUAAGGCCUUGGGGAGAAUUAUCCCAAGCUGACGCCAACCAGAGAAAUUUUUUAAUAAGCGUUUUUUUCGAUAAAAUAACGAAAGACUUCAGAGAAUUAAGCAACGACACUUACGAGAACAAAGUAAGAGAGGUGGUGGGGAGUACAUUACCAUCGUUGGCUCAUGUGAUACAGUUUUCUAAGAAUCAUCCAAAUUCGUCCAAAAAAUUGCUUUAUAUGGGAUUGAAGGCGUCAAUAGAUCAUGCAUUGGAUUUAUUUCCUGAAUAUGCAAAAUACCCGGAAGUUAGCGAUAAUAUUUUAGCAUUGUUUCUAGAAGUAUUAGGGGUUUUGCAACAACAGUUUGGUGUAGAAAAUACGCGGCGUUCAGUAGAAGUUUUCCUAGAAGUUGCUAUAAGUCAGCAACAAUCUAAAAAUCUGUCAGGCCUAGAUAAACUUUUACAAAUACUUCAGCUUGUUGUAGAAGCGCCGGGCCCCCCAUAUAGAAGCUUUCUUCCUGGUAUUUUACAGCUUUGUCUUGAACAUGUUCAUCCCUUAGUUAUCUCGCAGGCUAAUGAUCAACCUGGUGUUAUAAUUGCAUUAUUAACCUUAUUACACAGUAUAUUUCUACACAGAUGGCAAUACUUCUACGUUUCACAGGUGAGAUUAGGUCAUUCUCCAGGAUGUAGUGAUACAGAUCCGAGUUCAGAUACCCCUCAACAUCCCAUUCAACUCCUAGCUGUUUUACAAGUAUUCGGACAGACUCUUUUACAACCGGAUAUAAACGUUUUUCGAACCAGUUUAGCAGCUUUAGAAGAUCUCAAUUCCAAAUGGAAACUAUACUACAAGACUUUGUUUCGGGAACAACUUCUGAACCAAUUUCUAACAGUUCUGUUUCACACACUUUUGGACAAAACUCAUGCCCUUUUAACGGACGACAUCCUUUUGGCUAUUUACAACAUGGCUGCGGUUAAUUUUCAAGAUUUUUUUGAAAGUUUCAUUCCAAAUUUUCUACAAUCUACAAACGGUCUUGCUCAACCUCAAAAAGAUUCAUUAAAGCAAUGCCUUCAAAAAGAAACGGCAUAAGGAGAAAGACUUAAAAAUCAUCAAUAGAAUUAGGGGUAUUUUCCAAAAAUACAUACAUAUAUACAUAGAGUUCUUCAAAAUGAAUGGUACAUUAGACGUUUUAGGGAAAUUAAGCGUGAUAUGCCAACUUUCGUGCAACAUAUAAUUCGUUUUGUAAACGAUAUGAGGUGUUACAGAUUGUGCAAUGCCAGUUUGCCUCCUGGUA